CUAGGAUUGAGAUGACAUGUGGGCAGCCUUGCCCGGCUUUACAGUUUUGAUCUUGGUUCUUCCAGGUUCUUCAAAUAGAUCCUGAAGUGACAGAUGAAGAAAUAAAAAAGAGGUUCCGCCAGUUGUCUAUCUUGGUGCAUCCUGACAAAAACCAGGACGAUGCUGACAGAGCACAGAAGGCUUUUGAAGGUAUUUGUACAUUUACCUAUGUUUGAGUAAUAGAGCUGUCGAUGCUAAGGAAUAACUGGUUAUAAAGAGCUGUGGAUUUCAGUAAAGCAGCCAUUUAAGCAGAGUGUUUCCUCGGGGGCUGGGUGUGUAGCUCAGUGCUUGCCUAGCUAGCAUGCUUAAGGCCCUGGGUCCAGUCCCCAGCACUGCACAGAAAGUGCAGUGACCUUGCUCUGUUAAAACUUUUGUGCCUACCAAUAUACUUCUAUUGCUUAGGUUCUUUUUUCUUUGCUAAACGUAAGUGGGAAAUACUUUAUCAAUGUCUUAAGUCUAGAUAUGGUAUUUUAGCCUUGACCGUAUAUUUAAUGAUUUUUCCUAAGACUUUCAAGGUCAUUGCUAUGGUUGUAUGCCUUUUUUAAAAAAUGGGUUUAACAAAGGUAAAUAAUUUAACAAAGUAGGGAAUGUUUUUAGACAGUGCAGAUCCAUUUGCACUGCUGAGUACAGCUCAGACUUUGAGAGGGUAUUUGCAGAAACAGUUAACUUCAAUGUUU
rnacentral:lncRNA from 1 species